ACACUGCCCCAAAGAGCAAUACAGCCGCUACCCCUUUCUUUUUCCCUCCCAAUCCCCUUUGUCUGCACCUUAUCCAAACCACAUAAACAUCCCUUCUCCAUUUUCGAUCGCCACACAUAUCACACACAAUUGUGUGUGUAGUUAUCAGAGGAAACAAGGGAGGAAGAUGAAACCAAAGGGUUUCAUGUCGACCGCGGUUGCCGCAGGGGCAGAGCACGGUGGUGCGCAAAGGUGGCGGUGGUGAGACGGAACACCGACGACAACCAAACCCACACUCCUGCUUCUUCUCCAACCAGCCAAACACCCCCCUCCCUUUCGAUUUCCGGCGACAAGUUCAGAAGAGAGAGAGAGAGAUCUAUGGACCUAGGAGGGCCGGCGUCCACUCGCCGGCGAUGCCUCCGGUGAUAUUGUUCUCCGGUGAUGAUAAUGACGAUGAUGCGAAGAUGAUAAUGAUGUUCCGACGAGGUUUAGAUCGUAAAUCGGACCAUGUAGGUCCUGAUCGGUUCGCUUUCCAUGGCUCCAGCAGAUCCGACGGUGCCUCUCCACUUCUGACAAGCGCUGAUAGUGUUUGGUGGUGAUUACUUUGUUCAAACUUCAGAAUGAUGUACUGGUUCGGGAUUUAGCAGUCAGAUGUCCAGAUUCUGAUUCGGUUUCGAGUUUUGCUUCGAGUCCGAGUUGACUCGGUCAACACCCUUAGCCAACUCGGGUCAACUCAGUCAGCCGAUUAAUUCAGUCUUGGUCGCACAAGUUCGGGUCAAAGCUGGUCAAAGUUGGUCAAACAGUCAACAUGGUCAACGCGGUCAAACCCAGUCAACUGUCGGGUCAACGGGUUAAAAACGAGGUUUGGUGUAACAAUGACGCGAAUAUUAAUUUUAUUGUUUCGUAUUUAAUUAACAUUUUAAUCACGGAACCGAACUCUAUAACUUGUAAAUAACUAUACAUAAAAAUCUGUAUCUAUAAAUUGUUGUGUUCAUUGUUGCAUUUUGGAAAAUAUAUCGACAACUUGUGUUGUCGGGAUCGUCUAAAAACAGAGGAAACUCUGUCCGUUUUUAGUAAAAAUACGUAAAACAAAACGUAUUAAUUUGUAAAACGAAACAUAUCAAGGUUCAAGCUUUUUUAUAAAGUAAAUACAAAUGUAUAUUUAUGUUAACAACACUUCUAUAACCUUCGUUUGCGCGUGUGAGGUGACCUCGAUGUUCCGUCAUUCAACCUUCAACUUUUCACGGAACUACCAAAAGAUGCUUUGCAAAAUAGAUUGUGACCGAUGAAUCCAGUAGGAUUGCCUAGAAACGCAUUUAAACUUUAUUGCUCGUUGCAUUGUAAUUUGCUUUCAAUCCUGUUGUAUUCUGUUUCCAAUACUUGUAGUAAUUAAUUAUCCAUGCAAUGAAAUUUAAUUAUUAGAAUA